rnacentral:lncRNA from 1 species
AUUUCCCUUUAGCUUAGCAAUAUGCUGCAGCUCUCAAAAGAUUGGAUCUGAAAGAAAGAGACGGAGGAGAAUGAGAGCCAGAGACAGAGAUGCAGACAAGGGAGGGAAGGGGAAAAAAGACUUUUCUUUUCUUUUCUUUUUUUUCUUUCUAGAGGAAUUCUGCCCAGACUCUCCAGCAGUUGGUAGCAGGCAGGCUUUCUCCUGUGUCGCCUGGAAAAGUUGCAAAAUUGCUCUUCACCUGUAAGAACAUGCUUUUUUAUCUUCCAGUCUCUUCUUGUCAAUUUGGAAAUUGCAGACAGCCCGGCUCAGGCAUUAAGAGAAAUUGAUUAGUGACAAGGAAGAGAAGAAAACAUUGCUGGUCAGUAGGCCACGGUGAGUCAUGGGCAUCUUCUGUACCUCAGGGUCAUGAAAUCAUCACCAUCAUCAUCAUCAUCACCACCACCACCAUCAUCAUCACCACCACCACCAUCAUCAUCAUCACCAUCAUCAUCAUCAUCAUCACCACCAUCACCACCACCACCAUCAUCAUUAUCAUCAUCACCAUCAUCAUCAUCACCACCACCAUCACCACCAUCAUCAUCAUCAUCAUCACCAUCAUCAUCAUCAUUGGCAGCGGUGGCAGCGGUAGCAGCAGCAGCAAGAUUUUGUAUUGGGAGGGUCCUUCCACAUGCUACAGGGGACAGAAGGUCAUCAGAUGUUGGCCUAGGGAUUAUAGCAUGAAGUGUUCCUCUUCUCGUAGGAUUUUAAACCUUUCGAGGAUUAAAACUGUCAUUCUAAUAGCUUGUUUCAGACUUACCCAUCAUCUACAACAUGCGGAAAAGCAGACUUAUAGAAGUCACCUAACUAAAGCCCAAUGUGAUGACCAGGGAAGUUGUUUUGAAGUAGGGCAGAUACUUUUUGAGACAUUAAAGAAAGGCACAAACUUGUUUCUAUUACACAUACAUUCUUGGAGCCUUUAGUUUGAACCUGGAACUCUGUUAGAGUCUGUGGGAACAACAUAGGCAGAAGACAUAGUCCUUACCUCCAGGAAGCUUCUUGGGCAAAGAACCAGUGUUCAGAUAUGGGCUUCAUCAACUUAAUGAAGACAGUUAACAUUUACCUUUAUUGUAGUGCAAAACAAAUGUAAUAAAAACAUAGGAUAUAGGGUUCGAGUGAAGGAGAAAAAUCACGUGAUUGGGAGACAAUGGAAAUCCUCCCAGAUGUCAGACACCCUUGGUGUUGGAGCUGGAGAAAAGCUGCUUGGGCAAUUCCCUGGCCCUGUUUGUCUCUGCCUGCAGCACUCUGGCCUCCUCUGAGUCAGUCAGCUCUUAUCUGACUGCUUAUCCAUUCCAUGAUCUAGCUCACCAGGCUGCAGAUUCCAUGAAGGAUGCUGUAUAUCCCUCUCUGAUUUCUCCCCCAUUAAAUAUCCUACAUAGAGACCAUUGCCCAGUACAGUACACAUUGUCAAUAAAAAGUCUUUAUGGCUGGACAAA